GGACAGAUGGCCGAGCGGUCUAAGGCGCUACGUUCAGGUAAAUCACCCAUCUGGGUUGACCAUCCCGAUUCGUAGUCUCGGAAGAGGCGUGGGUUCGAAUCCCACUCUGUUCA